GGUGCAGGAAGGGGCACAAACACUUCAGCAGUGAUUCAGCGAGCACUGCUGUGAGAAAUCACUCUGUACCUUUGGGAGUUCAUCCUGAACUGCUUCCCCGGGCAGCGGAGGAGCCGGGAACUCCUCAGUUCAUCGAUCAAAGCACUUGCAAUUCAAAGUAGGUGAAGCCCUGAAAGAAUACCAAGCAGUGAGAGAUCAUUUCUCUGGUGUGUGCAGGUGCUUUCUUGCAGCC